GACGAACGCUGGCGGCGUGCUUAACACAUGCAAGUCGAACGGAAAGGCCCUGCUUUUGUGGGGUGCUCGAGUGGCGAACGGGUGAGUAACACGUGAGUAACCUGCCCUUGACUUUGGGAUAACUUCAGGAAACUGGGGCUAAUACCGGAUAGGAGCUCCUGCUGCAUGGUGGGGGUUGGAAAGUUUCGGCGGUUGGGGAUGGACUCGCGGCUUAUCAGCUUGUUGGUGGGGUAGUGGCUUACCAAGGCUUUGACGGGUAGCCGGCCUGAGAGGGUGACCGGCCUCAUUGGGACUGAGGUACGGCCCAGACUCCUACGGGAGGCAGCAGGGGGGAAUAUUGCACAAUGGGCGGAAGCCUGAUGCAGCAACGCCGCGUGCGGGAUGACGGCCUUCGGGUUGUAAACCGCUUUCGCCUGUGACGAAGCGUGAGUGACGGUAAUGGGUAAAGAAGCACCGGCUAACUACGUG
rnacentral:rRNA from 1 species